AUGAGCCGUGUACGUUGACCCGUACGCACGGUUCUGUGAGAGGACGAGGGGCAUUGCCCCUCUCCUACUCGAU
rfam:Kosmotoga olearia TBF 19.5.1, complete genome.